CAAACUGCUUAGUAAUAGUAAUUGAACAUUCGAAAGUGAACAUGUUUCUUACUUUUUUGAGCUGUUAAAUGUUCAGUUUGUUGGUUUAGUUGCUAAAAGACCGAUCGAGCACUUCAGAAGAUCACACUUUAUUUGUCGUCUCAAUAUCUACGAAAUUAAAUAUUAAAUAAGGGCAUUUUCAUUGUGUUGUUGACGACGUAUAAAAUACAAGAGACAAGAAACAAGAAACAAGCCAAAGAAACAAGCCAAAAUAUCUGGGAAGAACAAUGAAAGCUGCAUCUGCAAUUGUUUUCUUUACAAUUUUUAUUUCUCUUUGUAAAGGAAAUAUAACAGUUUUAAAUAAGAACAGAACAUUCUUAUUUCAUCCUGGUACCACAAUAAAUAUAACGUGGACGUUUAAAGUUUCAUACCCAAUUAUACAUCGGGUGUGGCUUUUUACUCCCCAUGGCUCGUCUUCCCGUAAAAGACUUGCAGACUUGCAUGAUCAUGGAGGAAUUGUAUAUUAUCAUUCUUAUUCAAACUUAGAAAUUCACGUUUAUAAGCCAUCAAUCUUAGAACUAAAAAAUAUGGAUACACGUUACAAUGGGGAAUAUACCCUAAUCAUCUAUACCAGAAUGAAACGCUAUUCGAGGAAUGUCAAUGUGUAUAUCGUUGUUCCCACAUCAUGUUUAUCAAUGAAAACGUUUUCAACCGAUAUGCCAUUCAACAUAUCUUUUACUAAAAACGGUUCCACUCAGCUUCUUUCACCGACAACAUUGUCAACUAUUGCGCAAUCAAGUGUCUUUGCCUCUACAAACGGGAGAGCAGUUGCGUCUACAAUCAGGCCAAGUGGAAAGCAUUAUGUUAAUUUUUCGAAAAAGAUGAGCACGUUUGGCUGUUGAUUUGGACUGGUGGUGGGGUGUUUGUUCUGUUGCUACUUACAAUUAUUGCUUUAUUAAGUUAUAAAAACAGAAUCCUUACGAAGAGAGUUGAGGUCUUUGAAGGACUCCAAUUAAAAGAAAUGUCUUGAUUAUCUAUCCACUUCCUAUUUUCUUUUGAAGAAGUUAAUAUUUUUUUAAGAAGUUAAGAACUCCUUUGUUAACAAUAAUUAAAGAUAAAGUUCAUUUUAUGAAGAAAUAAAUAUUUAAAAUUUUUAACAAAA